rnacentral:other from 1 species
AAUACCCUGCUCUGUUCGUGAUGAGCCUUUUUAAACCCACAUUGUUUAUAAGGGAUUCCGAACUCUUUCGGUGAAUUGCAGGCCUCCCGAAACGCUAUACGCGUUCUUGGAUGUUGGAAGCAGCGCAGCCGGAAGGAGGAAACCCACCUGCCGAGUCGUGCAGGUUAUAAAUGGGCUUACACGGCAUGGCGGGGUGUUU